rnacentral:rRNA from 1 species
AGUGAACGCUGGCGGUAGGCCUAACACAUGCAAGUCGAACGGCAGCACAGGAGAGCUUGCUCUCUGGGUGGCGAGUGGCGGACGGGUGAGGAAUACAUCGGAAUCUACUCUGUCGUGGGGGAUAACGUAGGGAAACUUACGCUAAUACCGCAUACGACCUACGGGUGAAAGCAGGGGACCUUCGGGACUUGCGCUAUUGAAGGAGCCGAUGUCGGAUUAGCCAGUCGGCGGGGUAAAGGCCCACCAAGGAGACGAUCCGUAGCUGGUCUGAGAGGAUGAUCAGCCACACUGGAACUGAGACACGGUCCAGACUCCUACGGGAGGCAGCAGUGGGGAAUAUUGGACAAUGGGCGCAAGCCUGAUCCAGCCAUACCGCGUGGGCGAAGAAGGCCUUCGGGUUGUAAAGCCCUUUUGUUGGGAAAGAAAUCCAGCUGGCUAAUACCCGGUUGGGAUGACGGUACCCAAAGAAUAAGCACCGGCUAACUUCGUGCCAGCCGCCGCCUAA